rnacentral:rRNA from 1 species
CGGGUGAGUAAUACAUAGGAAUCUGCCCAGUAGCGGGGGACAACUCGGAGAAAUCCGAGCUAAUACCGCAUACGCCCUACGGGGGAAAGCAGGGGAUCUUCGGACCUUGCACUAUUGGAAGAGCCUAUGUCAGAUUAGCUUGUUGGUGGGGUAACGGCCUACCAAGGCGACGAUCUGUAGCUGGUCUGAGAGGACGAUCAGCCACACUGGGACUGAGACACGGCCCAG